AUAAAAACAGUGGCAGCAAGCAUGGCUCCUGUCUUUUCGUCCGAAAAAAUGGGAAGGAAUCAUGGCAACAAAAACACUGCUACCAGUAAAAAGUGUACGGGAUUAGACUGCCACAGUUUGCAUCUGUUUUUAUGUAAUUUUCUUAAUUAGAGUUAUAGUGCGGGUAGGCAGAAUUUAAUUGAUUUUUUAUAUCGCAUGGACUACGUGGCUUAUUCGAUGCCAAGUUUUAAAAUUUUUCCCUGUUUUUCAACUAGAAAGAGAGAGACAGGAAAGUAGAAGGAGCAUAUGCACAUGCAGAGGAGGGAGCCUGGGAAAAAAGGUGUUCUUCCAAGGGGUUGUCUAGCAUGGCAACAACCAAUCAACUGGGGAAAAAAAUUUGAUUGGGAGGUAAUGUGUUUUAAUUUGGUAACUGGGUUGGAAUUUGAGAACUAGAAUUUCAUUGACUGGCUUGGAAAACAGGAGGAGCAACACGAGAAGCAGUGGCAGGAAGCAGUGAAGAGCUAGGCGGCCUGCACAGACAGCACAUUUUGCUAAUGACUGUGUAAAUAGAUGCAACUUUUGGGAUGCUUCUGGAUUAUAUCUACCAGGCAAGCUUCUGAAGAACUAGGAUACCAGUAGUUUGCUUAGAAUCAGUGCAGCCUUUUGAUCUUGGUUAAUGACCUGUUGACAGAGUUAUCGUGACAAUUUCUUAAGUUGCUCUACUAACUCAAACUUAACGUUGUGCAUGUUUAGUAUCUAAAAUUUUUUUCCAUAAUAAACUUCUCCAGUAACUAACA